UAUAAACGUAGUUAUGAGUUUCCGUGUCCAACUUUAAUUGUCUGUUUUAUUUGAAAUUUUUUUAUGAUUAGUAUUUUUACUAUUGUUAGAUGAUAAAACAUUAAUAAUCCUUUAUGCAUGAAUUAUGUUUUGUUACUUUUUUUUAAAAAAAAAUAUCAAAUAAGACAGACGAUUAAAGUAGACACGGAAACUCAUGGCUGCGCUUAAA
rfam:Oryza sativa (indica cultivar-group) chromosome 3, whole genome shotgun sequence.